ensembl:snRNA LOC120095817 U6 spliceosomal RNA
GUGAUCACUUCCACAGCACAUAUACUAAAAUUGGAACUAUACAGAGAAGUUUAGCAUGGCCCCUGUGUAAGAAUGAUGAUCAACCUCCGGAAACAUUCCAUAUUAUU